rnacentral:rRNA from 1 species
UACAGAGGGUGCAAGCGUUGUUCGGAAUUAUUGGGCGUAAAGAGCGUGUAGGCGGCUAGGUAGGUCCGUUGUGAAAACUCGAGGCUCAACCUCGAGACGCCGGUGGAAACCAUCUAGCUAGAGUCCGGAAGAGGAGAGUGGAAUUCCUGGUGUAGCGGUGAAAUGCGCAGAUAUCAGGAAGAACACCCGUGGCGAAGGCGGCUCUCUGGGACGUGACUGACGCUGAGACGCGAAAGCGUGGGGAGCGAACAGG